rnacentral:tRNA from 1 species
UGCGAGGGUUGCCAAGCCUGGUUAAAGGCGCUAGGUUGAGGGCCUAGUCUCAUAGGAGUUCGAGGGUUCGAAUCCCUUCCCUCGCAU